rnacentral:rRNA from 1 species
UACGUAGGUGGCGAGCGUUGUCCGGAUUUACUGGGCGUAAAGGGAGCGUAGGCGGACUUUUAAGUGAGAUGUGAAAUACCCGGGCUCAACUUGGGUGCUGCAUUUCAAACUGGAAGUCUAGAGUGCAGGAGAGGAGAAUGGAAUUCCUAGUGUAGCGGUGAGAUGCGUAGAGAUUAGGAAGAACACCAGUGGCGAAGGCGAUUCUCUGGACUGUAACUGACGCUGAGGCUCGAAAGCGUGGGGAGCAAACAGGAUUAGAUACCCCGUA